rnacentral:lncRNA from 1 species
UGUUGAAGCACUGACUUUAAGGCAGCAGCAGUAAGCUCACUUUUGCUGGCUAUGAGCACAUUGAAACUCCCAAGCUGAAGAGAGGUAAAUGAGCAUUCCAGGGUGUGCAAACUGAAAAAAAAUAUGUGCAGAGUUUGUGUGUCACAGAAACAAUUAUUCUUUAAGUUUUAUAAUCAAGAAGUGAGAAAGGCAAAUUAUCCUUUAUAUACACAUUCACACACACACACAUUUAUAUAAUGUGUAAUGUAUCACUUUGCAUUGCAACGAUUUAUUUGACCAGGGACUGGAAUAGGAAGUACGGCUGAAAUAUAGUCAUUUCUAUAUGAUCUUUCUAUUUUUUAUUUUUUAAUCACCCCUUUAUCAGAAUAUAUUUUUAAACAUGUGUGUCAGUUUAGUUAAAAAGAGCCUGGCAUUGUUGUUAGGCAGAUCUGAACUUGAGUCAUGGUGCUGCCACUAGUGUGACUUGGUUCUUAAUCUCUUAAUCAUUUAAUCUCUCUAAGCCUCAGCUUCCUCAACUGAAAAGUACACUUAAAUUUGGUACCAACUUUAAAGAGCAAUUGAGAUAAUGAGUCAGUCUGAUUAGACUAUUACUAAUGUAGCUAUUGCUAAUAAUACAACUAUAAAUAAAAAUAAUAAUCACAGCAACUACUUUGAGUACUUGCUACAUGCAAAUCAAUGUAUUAGGGUCUCAAGACAAAUGGUAAAUGGAAAUAUGUUGAGCUCAUUUGAUUCAAAUGUGCUUCAAGUAAAGUCUGAGAAAUGAAGAACAAUGGUGUACAGAAUGCAAUGCAGUUCAAAAGAAAUUUCAGAGAAAUGUUUAGGGAAAUUGGGGGCAAUGGGAUUAAGGUAGAAAUGGAAUUGGAGUUGGAAUAUGUCUGCUUACCAGUUUUCAACAUAUUAAUGAAAAUAAAAUAUUUGGGCUUUUUUGUUUGUAUGUUUUGUUUUUCCAAAGCUCCAUUGUGCUUGUACUUUCAUCGAUGUCUUGGAAAAAUAUUAUCGGUAUUGGUUUGUUCAGCAU